rnacentral:lncRNA from 1 species
CUGGGGGUCUGGAGUGGCUUGCGUUUGACACACAAAGAAUCCAGGGCAAGGAUGAUACCCACACACAGGGUGUCUGCACUGGAAAGGGCUCCGUGUAUUUACCUGUAGGGCAAUUCAAUUAAAACUCAAGAAAGGGGUAAAUCUAUGAGAUUAGCUCCAGGAACAAUGGCGCUGAUUGUUGCUGGCCCUCACCAUCCCUAUGAAAGCAGAUGUUAAACAAAUAUUUUGAUGCCUCCAAUCAGCCCCAGUGUGAAUCUCCUGUUUUUGUUUUUCUUUAUCUCCAGAGAUGGGAAUUCUACAGUCUUCAUCAGUAGCCCACUUUGGUGAUCUAUUUAAAAUUGGUGAUCUAUUUAAAAGAUUCCAUAGAACUUGAUUGUAAAUAUCCAAAUGGAGGGGCAUGAUUCAUUAAUAUAGGGACAUUCUGGAGUUGUCCAUUCGGCCUUUGCUCCUCCCCAUUCUCAGAAGCACCCUUCAUUACCGGAGAGGUUUCUUGGACGUUUGUGGCAGGCUCAGGAGGAAGAGAAGAGGUAGAGGGGGAAAAGUGUAUAGACUGGGGGCUGGGGGCAAUAUUGCUGGGAGGACCCUCAAAGGAAGCCACUGGAGUCUUCUAGAUGUUUGGAAGAGAGGAGUAGUUGAGCAGCUGCAGUGUGACACAAUGGAAAAGUAAUUUAAGAAGUGUCCUGGGCCACAUAUUCCCUUCAUUGACAGAAAGGAGCAGAGGUGAAGACGAAGAAACUUUCCACUGAAAGAGGGGACUGCAGACCCAACCAGGCCCUUCACAUUGGGGGUGGACACCAGCAGCCUAGGGGGCCCCCAGCACAUUCCACCAGGGAACACAUUCCUGCCUGCACCCCUGGCCCAGAAUUAAGGCAUAUUAUGAAUAUUCAGUGAAACAACGUGUGUGCUCACCAGGCAGGAAGAGCUCAGCAAAUGGUGGCUGGUCUGGAAAUUAUUGUCAUCACUAUAAUCCUCAUCGACAUCAUCAGCCUUAUUGUCAUCAUCAUCAACCUCAUCAACGUCAUCAUCAGCCUCAUCAACGUCAUCAUCAGCCUCAUCACUGUCAUCAUCAGCCCUUUGUCAUCAUCAUCAUCCACCUUGCUGUUCUCUUCCUUGUUGACAUCACUAUCCUCAUCCUCCUCAUCACCAUCAACAGCAUUAUUUUUAUUUUUUAUUCUUCCACCUGUAAGAGUUUCUUUUCCUCCCUCUUAUUGUUUUCCUCUUGGGAUGACUAGUGGUGAAGGAAGUGUCAGAGGCAAUGACCUCACAGCUGUCGUUGCCAUGGGUGACACCUCCUAGAGAGACCUUACUGGAACUUUCAGUCCAGGGGAGUUUCUGCUGUUCCAGGAUGGAGGAAAUGUUCAAGAACUGUGGAGCAUCUGAGACUUUUUCCUACUUUUGAUGUCCACCUAGUCAAAGUUCAGAGGCAGAAGUGGAGACCCAGUAAUGUUGAGUAACUUAAAUUCAACCAGCAAA